GUUGAAUUCAAGUAAAAGGUAGCAUGCACGGGCUGUUGUGCUCCCCCGUGCAAUUGCUCUAAGUUUCAACCGAGCGACCGUACUCGACAGGCGGCAGACUUAACAGUUAUCAUAGAGUAGCUGCACCUAUUCGUGAUAGGCGCAACACCAAAGUUAUCAUAAAAUACUGCAGGGGGCUACUCGGGUAUCUAAUGAGAUUGGUUCUAGUAGCAUUCGUCACUCAUCGUCGGAGGUGUUUUGGUCAGGCGCAUUUGCCACCGGUAGUCUUCAUAGGAUUACAAGAUUUUACCCUUACCCCAUGAAUAAUCAUGACAUCUCCCACUCCUUAGUUGAAAGGUAUGUUAUGCACGCACUGACGUCAGGCACCAAUAUUUCACAUAAGACGGUUUCAUCCGGCUAUAGACGUAUUAAGCCCAAUAAUAGUGAACACCACGCGUGCCGCCGGUAUUAGCGUGGCGGCAGCCACUGGUUUUACCCAGCAGUUAUUGAGCAAGCUAUUUGGAAUUAGCAAAAGGUGCACCGAAGUGCACCAUUCAGACUCCCCCCAUCACACAGGGUGCAUUGUGGAGUAUGGGCCCGUGAUGCACGCGGUAGCGAUAGGGCCCAGGUCUCAGUGCCGUCAUCGGGGCUCUUACUCUCAUAUCCCCUGGUGGUCAACGGUAUGGUGGGCCGGUACGGAUCCAUAUGCCUGAUCAGAAGCAGUCUCAUCGCAGAGCAGUACACGCUACAAUUCGCGGACUUUAGGAGCUACAAUUCAUUCCAGAAUUGGUAGCA
rnacentral:rRNA from 1 species